GUUUUUUUAAAAAUAAUAUUGCUAUAAUUAGGAGUAGAGCUUAUAUGGUAACAACUUUAUAUUAUUAUUGUUAUUGUUGUUAAGAUGUAUGAAAAAUAAUUACAUUUAGUUCUAGGCUUGUAUAACAAACUAGCAUUAAUCUGUUGUACUCUUUAGAAUCCAGAAACCAUAAAUGAUCAUUCCAAUAUUCAUUUUAUUAAUUACACAGUGUUACUUAAAAAUAAUUUUCAUGAACUCUGUUUGUCCCUCACCCAUUUAACCCACUGGCACUGUUUUUUUUCAAUAUUAGAUAUGGAAUUAAUUUCUCUUUAUCAGUACUACAAAAUAGGAUUUCCUUUAGAAUAUUACUGUUCUAAAUAGGUAUAUGUCAUGCUUUUUCAGAGUACUUUUAUUUGUUUUAUCUGAUUCUUAUUGGUAUCUUCACCAUUAUCUAAAACCAUAAAACUAGAAAAAUUUAGGGAUUAUCUUAGUUCAGCUAAUUUACUCUUUAGGUAAGAAAACUCAGAGAGGAUGAAUUUAAAAUUAGUUAAUUUUGUCAAUUCUAAUACUGGAAUAGAACUUAGAACAAGGUAAACAGUUUUUGGAACAAUUUUGAUAAGAUAAUACCACUUUGUCCAGAUCUCAGCAUUAUGAUUUAGCAAUGUUGAAAAGUUUAGUGAGCAGAAUUAGAGCAAAAUGAUUUGAAAAUUAUUGAUCACUCUGGAUCAUGAGUAGUUAUGUGAUUCUUUUAUUUACUUAUUUAUUUAGGUACCAAAGAUUGAAUCCAGGAGCUGUUAUCCACUAUGCCACAUCCCCAGUCCUUCUUUUUUUAAUAUUUAUUUUUUAGUUAUAUAAAAUACCUUUAUUUUAUUUAUUUUUUAUAUGAUGCUGAGGAUAAAACCCAGCGCCUCGCAUAUGAUAGGCAAGCACUCUACCACUGAGCCACAACUCCA
rnacentral:lncRNA from 1 species